rnacentral:rRNA from 1 species
AUUGAACGCUGGCGGCAGGCUUAACACAUGCAAGUCGAGCGGGGGAAGGUAGCUUGCUACCGGACCUAGCGGCGGACGGGUGAGUAAUGCUUAGGAAUCUGCCUAUUAGUGGGGGACAACAUCUCGAAAGGGAUGCUAAUACCGCAUACGUCCUACGGGAGAAAGCAGGGGAACUUCGGACCUUGCGCUAAUAGCAGAGCCGAAGUCGGAUUAGCUAGUUGGUGGGGUAAAGGCCUACCAAGGCGACGAUCUGUAGCGGGUCUGAGAGGAUGAUCCGCCACGCUGGGACGGAGGCACGGCCCAGACUCCUACGGGAGGCAGCAGUGGGGAAUAUUGGACAAUGGGGGGAACCCUGAUCCAGCCAUGCCGCGUGUGUGAAGAAGGCCUUAUGGUUGUAAAGCACUUUAAGCGAGGAGGAGGCUACUUUAGUUAAUACCUAGAGAUAGUGGACGCUACUCGCAGAAUAAGCACCGGCUAACUCUGUGCCAGCAGCCGCGGUAA